rnacentral:lncRNA from 1 species
CCACCUCGAGUCCCACUCUCUCAGGGGAAGUCAGUGGCUUUGCCGGUCGCCAGUCCGGGGAGGGUCCCCCUUUGGCCCCGGCACCUUCUUUCGGUGCGCGCCCAUCGCCUCCUCCCCUGGGCCGAGCCCACGGGCCCCGGGCCCCCGGCGCUCUUCCCGGGCCUCGCCGGUGGCGGCGGAGCUGUCCCCGAGCUCCUCCUCGGCCGGCGAUCCGUCCCCGCACCGCCACCGCGGCCGCCAGGGUCUCCCCGCCGGCCUCAGCCCGGCCCCGCGGCGUCCACGUGGCCCGCAGAGCUACCUUCGGCGGCAGAAAGCCCCGCCGGGCCGGACCAGCCGAGGCCCGAGAGGGCGCGAGGACGCGGCGCGGGGCGGGCCGAGCGGAGGAAGGGGAGGGCCGUGCGCCCGGCGGCCGGGAGGCGGCCCCGCCCGUGGCCCCGCCCCGCUCCCGUUACUCUCGGGAAGGUUUCCGAGGCCGCUCCCAUCCUCACCCCACCUCCCGGCCCGGCACUGGCCUCGCCGCCGGAGCCCCACUAUGCCAGACGGUUUCGACACUUCGCAAAGACAAAGAGCCCCCGAGCAGAGCGAGGAGAGAGAGCAGGAAGGCGAGGACACAGAGGCGCCGGGGGCGAUGUGAGCCGCGGGGUCUUGCGAUGUUGGCUGCUGCAGUCUUGGCGUCUGUCUGGGAUCUUCCUGCUGAUGUCCAUUCACGGAACGCCACACCCUGGACUUCCUGGGCUCAUUGUACCUAAAUGAGACUUUGAGGCCACUGUUAGCAUAAGUACUGCCGCAGUUGAGAUGACUGAAGCUGGACAAGCUUCCCGUUGCCUGCAAGGCACCCCGGAUGCCCGUGGGUGUGGGUGGGGAGCUGUUACGUGCUGUGAUGUGCCUCCUCCCUCCUGAACUCUAUGUCUGUGGUUCCACUGGGCAGCUGGGCCCAUGCUCGUCUGAGCAGCCCCUCUGCCUGUCCGCGUCCCUCCAUCUCCCUCACCUCAUUCCUGGGAAUCAGAUAAGCGACCAGAAAAACAAGGUGCCCCCCAGACUCACAUGCUCAGAGCAGUAUUUCGGAGGACUGUUAAUAGGAUAGUUAAUGAUAGGUCUUCCACCACUUCAGCAGCUAUUAUGUAUAGUAGCUGCCCUCUUCCUAUGGUGCCUUACCCCCUCCCCUGUGUGACGUCAUGCCAAGAUGGUUGCUCCCACCAAAGAAUAAACCCUUCUUCCCAGCAUGCCCCUGUUCCCGCCUAGAAAGUAACCUAAUACUCGCUCACCUCCUACCACCUAGUGACAUCACCGGCUCCUCCAUUCCCUAGUCACUGCCUCACUCAACCCCACCUCUGCCCCUACAAACCCCACCCCAGUCUCUAUAAAAGACUCUCCCUGCCCCGGCCAUAUUGCUUUUGUCUCUCCUUGGUUCAGAGACAGCCCGACAGAUCUAGUCCCCUAAUAAAGGCUUGCUGUGGCCUGGUCUGGUCUUGGUCUUUGGCCCUUUUACCUGACAGUUAGUGAUGGUGUUCCAGGUCACCUUCGCUGGGGACAGACUUGAUGAUGUCAGCUCUGUCUCCUGGCCCAAAGUUUCUAUGGUCAGUAGAGGUUUUCUCCACCGCCCCCCCUUUUCUUUUUGCCUUCUUUCCUUCUUUUCCCAUGUCUACAACAUAUGGUCAAAAGCACUUAGCAG